AAACAAGUUCAAGAUGAUCCCAGGGAGAAAGAGAAGGGGAACCCGUCAAAUACCAGGGAAUCAGAAGGCUGGAGGAGAGGCCGGGGCGCAGGGUAAGGGAGGACAUGGACACGUGACAAAAGCCUGGCUGACCAGAGGCAGGGGAUGUCUACUGGGCUAAUACUGAGGGGCCUGGCUAAGCUGCUGAGGCUGGCCUCCAACUUGUGAUCCUCCCACCUCAGCCUCCUGAGUUGCUGGGAUUACAGACGUGCACUGCCCUGCCUGGCUAAGCUUCUCUUCUUUACUCGACGUGGCUGCCUGUGCUGCUUGGAAUUUCUGAACCGUCCUGCAACCUUGAGGGGGAAGCAUCCUCAUGGGCUGGGGAUGGCAGAGCCGGAGCAUGGAAAGCACCCAACUUUUCCAUGAUGUUAUUACUGCACUGUGACACCGACCCAACCCUCUGGCCCCUGGGCUCCCCAAACACGCACGACACCUGGUUGUUCAAGCCACUUUUCAGUGGAUCUCGGUUGUGACCCGAACACCUCUGUCUCCACCAUUCUUACUGGGCAGUGACCAGGAGCCAAGACCCUGGGCAGCAGUCGAGGCUUCAAGGGUUUAAAUAAAAGACUUGCUGGACCCCAGCGAGACAGGGGAUUAGGAGAAGUUCCUUCCGAGGAAGUGAGUCUAUGCAGAGGAGGACGGGAGGUAAAAGUCACCCAGCAACACAGAGGGAAAGGGGGACCGAGGUGGGGGGGGCUCAAGCCCAAGAAAUAGAGGCGCCCUGUGUCCAGAUAAAGGGGAAAAGCAGUGGGUGGGGACAGGUGGGGACAGAUGUCUCAAGGUCACAGCCAGGACCCCACAGGACUGUGGAGCAGUGCUUAACAGCCCGGCCACCUGCUUUCCUAAGACUUCUUUGGAACUUAAAAAAAUUUUUUUUUCUUUUAAUUUAAAAAAAUGCUUUUGAGGGUCAG